CGCUGCUCCAGGCUCCACCCACUCCCGCUUGAAAACCAAUCAGAUGUUUAAACAUCUUUCAGCGUCAUCAUCAUUAUCCCGCCCCCUCGUGUACGGCGCUCAGUUUCACUUCCUGCGGUCUCGUGGAUUGUCGAAGCUGUCAAUCAUCAGAACACAAAAGGACAGAUGAGACACACGUGUGUUUAUCCAGUGCUGAGUGACUGAUGAAGAAAUGCUGCCAUCAAAGGAUUUGUAUCUUUUGUGGAGGAGCAGGACCUGCAAGAAAGGGUGGAAAAAAGGGAAAACCUGAAACAAAAGGAUAAAACUGGUGUGUGCAGUGAGGAUGGAGAAGGCCACAGCAGCAUCCUGGAAAUGGUCCAGUGUCACAGAUGAGACGCUCCAUCACUCCACCUGCUCUUACAGUCUCAUCAGAGCUGGAUGCUGCUGUGGCCUCUUCAUUCUCAGUGACCCCAGAGCCAGUGAGAGCAUCUAGAGAAAGACCAAAAGACACUGAGGAUGUGAUUUUGGUAAAGUUUGUUCUGCUGGUUUCUGUUUAUACAAUGAAGGCUGACUUUCAGAAUCUUCAAAAGCAUCAUCACAAAAUGUCAUGAAGCUUUUAUCCGAAGUUAUUGACAGUGCUCUUAUUACAGGGGCCUACAAUCCCCUGAUCAACCUGGAGAAAAGAUCCUUGCUCAAGGACAUACUGGUGGUUUUGAACCAGCAACCUUCUGCUCACCACUUCAGUGGUUUAGUAAUAAAUCUACAACAACAAAAAAAAAUGCAUGUAAUUGCAAACAUGAAAUGAAAUUUGGCAAGAAAUGGAAAGCUGACAACAUGAGAUGUAAAAUGUUUCACUCUGUGUAAAUGUUUACAGGUAGUCGUGCUCAUGGAGAGCAGGCACACAGAUGUUUGGAGCAGACACAGCAGCAGUCAGAUUGUCCCGCACGUGUUCCCCUGCUCUUGCUUCAAGGUUGUGUGGUUCAGAGAGCCGUCAUCAUGGUCUUCCUCAUCCUGUUGCUCAACGACGUCCCCAUUGAGAAGAGUGAGAUUGUGAAGCACAGCGCAGCAGCAGAAUUGGCACAGCUGUGUUGAGAUGGCAGGAGGAUGUGGGGUUCACCAUCUGUAAAUACAUGAUUGUUAGAACAAUGUUUAAUGAAGCUUUGUUUCACGUGUUGCUGACUUGUAUAUGUAUGUAUUUAUUGAGAUGCUUUUAAUCACUUAUUCAUGUUUCUUGUUGUCAGUAAAUAGAAUACAAAUAUAUUAUUCAUUUAUGUAUUAAUUGCUUGACUGAAAAUUUAUGUAUUCAC